rnacentral:rRNA from 1 species
CGGGAAUAUUGCGCAAUGGGGGGAACCCUGACGCAGCGACGCCGCGUGAGCGAUGAAGGCCUUCGGGUCGUAAAGCUCUGUCCUUGGGGAAGAAGGUCUUCGGACUUGACGGUACCCAAGAAGAAAGCCCCGGCUAACUACGUGCCAGCAGCCGCGGUAAUACGUAGGGGGCGAGCGUUGUCCGGAAUUACUGGGCGUAAAGGGUGCGUAGGCGGCCCUUUAAGUCAGAUGUGAAAGCCCGCAGCUUAACUGCGGAAUUGCAUUUGAAACUGGAGGGCUUGAGUGUCGGAGAGGGUAGUGGAAUUCCCAGUGUAGCGGUGAAAUGCGUAGAUAUUGGGGGGAACACCAGUGGCGAAGGCGACUGCCUGGACGAUAACUGACGCUGAGGCACGAAAGCUAGGGGAGCAAAC